UACGAAGGGGGCUAGCGUUGCUCGGAAUCACUGGGCGUAAAGCGCACGUAGGCGGGUCUUUAAGUCAGGGGUGAAAUCCUGGAGCUCAACUCCAGAACUGCCUUUGAUACUGAGGAUCUCGAGUCCGGGAGAGGUGAGUGGAACUCCGAGUGUAGAGGUGAAAUUCGUAGAUAUUCGGAAGAACACCAGUGGCGAAGGCGACUCACUGGCCCGAUACUGACGCUGAGGCGCGAAAGCGUGGGGAGCAAACAGG
rnacentral:rRNA from 1 species